CGAACGCUGGCGGCGUGCUUAACACAUGCAAGUCGACCGGAAAGGCCCCUUUGGGGGUACUCGAGUGGCGAACGGGUGAGUAACACGUGAGUAACCUGCCCUUGACUUCGGGAUAACUUCAGGAAACUGGGGCUAAUACCGGAUAGGAAUCCUUGCUGCAUGGUGGGGGUUGGAAAGCUUCGGCGGUUUUGGAUGGACUCGCGGCUUAUCAGCUUGUUGGUGGGGUAGUGGCUUACCAAGGCUUUGACGGGUAGCCGGCCUGAGAGGGCGACCGGCCACAUUGGGACUGAGAUACGGCCCAGACUCCUACGGGAGGCAGCAGUGGGGAAUAUUGCACAAUGGGCGGAAGCCUGAUGCAGCAACGCCGCGUGCGGGAUGACGGCCUUCGGGCUGUAAACCGCUUUCAGCAGGGGCGAAGCUUGUGGUGACGGUACCUGCAGAAGAAGCACCGGCUAACUACGUG
rnacentral:rRNA from 1 species